AAACAUGUCUUUAUGCUUUAUAUAAAGUCAUGCCUGCACACUGAGUGCUUAAAGAGCUGCAGUAUUCUAACUGUACUAAGGUAGCAUAAUAGAUUGUUUUUUAAAAGGAGACUUGAAUGAAAGGUUUGAUACUGGUAGUCUUUCUUUUAGUUUUAAGCAAAGUUAAUUUUUCGAUUAAAAAUUAGAGAUGUGUUUAGGGGACGAGAAGACCCUGUAAAAUUUAUUUGUGUUUAUGUUGGUUAGGUUUAGUUAAUAGGUAUAAAUUUGUUGGGGUGAUUAUUAUAAAAUUAGUAACUGUAAUUAAUUGGUCUUUUAUAGAAGAUUUUUUUGCCCCUGUAAAAAGGAUCAAAAGAUUAAAUUACUUCAGGGAUAACAGCGUUAUUUUUUCAAGAGUUCUAAUCAAAGAAGAAGAUUGCGACCUCGAUGUUGAAUUAAAGAGUCUAUUAGGUGUAGCAG
rnacentral:rRNA from 1 species